GACAGUACAUUUCUGACUUUUCACUCCAUGUGCAGGAAUACUGAGAGUGCACAGGCUUCUACGGUCACAGAAGUUUGUUUCUGUUCCCUUACAUCUUGUCUGAAUACUACCAUCUGAGCUCCUUGAAAGGCAGGGAUAUUACUUUAAAGGGCAGUGCCAUCAUGACCUUCGAGCAAAGUCAUAACAUAAAAAUGCAAGCAUGAUGACUCGUGAAUUAGUUUCACGAUGGCAAAGGUGUCUCAUUUUGUAGUCGAAUCUCAUUCCCUGGAUGAACGAGACUGUCUGAAUCAGUGGAUGAGAUCUGAAAGCAGGUUGGUGAAAGUGACUCAUAUAGCCAAUUGACGGGCGAGUGAAGAGUUAACAGGACUGAAGUUUGUCAAUUGAUAUGCAGAAGAACUGAUAGCACAAGAGCU
rnacentral:lncRNA from 1 species